rnacentral:rRNA from 1 species
UUUGUUCCCUAAAUAGGGACUUGUAUGAAUGGCCACACGAGGGCUUUACUGUCUCUUACUUCUAAUCCGUGAAAUUGACCUUCCCGUGAAGAGGCGGGAAUACAACAAUAAGACGAGAAGACCCUAUGGAGCUUUAAUUAACCGGCCCAAAGAAACCUUAUUAACAACCGACAGGGAUAACAAACCUCUACAUGGACCGGCAAUUUAGGUUGGGGUGACCUCGGAGAACAAAAUAACCUCCGAGUGAUUUAAAUCUAGACUAACCAGUUAAAAGUAUUACAUCACUUAUUGAUCCAAAAACUUGAUCAACGGAACAAGUUACCCUAGGGAUAACAGCGCAAUCCUAUUUCAGAGUCCAUAUCGACAAUAGGG